CCUGUAUGAAGUCGGAAUUGCUAGUAAUCGCGGAUCAGCAUGCCGCGGUGAAUACGUUCCCGGGCCUUGUACACACCGCCCGUCACACCAUGAGAGCCGGGAACACCCGAAGUCCGUAGUCUAACCGCAAGGAGGACGCGGCCGAAGGUGGGUUUGGUAAUUGGGGUGAAGUCGUAACAAGGUAUC
rnacentral:rRNA from 1 species